AUGGAAAACCAGGAGCACCCGGGAGCACAUUUCAGAGGAAGCUCUGAGGGCAGGAGGUGGACCAUGUUCCUGACUGCCAUCAGGAACUGGGCCACGGGAACACGGAUGUCACUUUCCCAAAGGACAGCUUGAACUAUGGAGAAACUACUAAUAAAAUUUCAAGAGCUAAAGGCUGCGAGCCAGCAAACUCAAUGUGAAAGAGAGAAAAAUGGAGAGAACAAAAACGCAGAAUCUGAAGAUGUGUUACUACACGUCAAGAUAAAUAUCAUGCAAGAGAAGAGAGAUGAUGUUUUUCAAAUAUUUAAAACACAAUUUACAGCUACUUGCUUCAGCCCAGUUAAUAGAAAUAUAGUUAGACUGUGGGAAAUGGAUAGUUU
rnacentral:lncRNA from 1 species